UUGGGGUUUUUGUUAGAGCUUUUGCAAGGGGUUAGUGCUUCUUAUUGAAAGAGAGAGGUUUAUGAGAGUUAAGAGUGUGUGAUUUUCUCUUGUAUUUAUUUUCUUUCAUAGUAAGACUUUUGUAUGUCCCAUGGAGGUAAGCCUUGGGCUGAUCCAUAUAUUUGAUUGUGUCUUUAAUUUUAUUUCUUCUUUCUUUCUAUUGCGAU
rnacentral:lncRNA from 1 species